rnacentral:rRNA from 1 species
GACGAACGCUGGCGGCGUGCUUAACACAUGCAAGUCGAACGGAAAGGCCUGCUUUCCCUUGUGGAUUGCGGGUACUCGAGUGGCGAACGGGUGAGUAACACGUGAGUGAUCUGCCCCCAACUUGGGUAUAAGCCUGGGAAACUGGGUCUAAUUCCCGAUAGGACUGCAGGGUGGUGCCUGUGGUGGAAAACGAUUUUCUAGUGGUUGGGGAUGAGCUCGCGGCCUAUCAGCUUGUUGGUGGGGUAAUGGCCUACCAAGGCGGCGACGGGUAGCCGGCCUGAGAGGGUGGACGGCCACAUUGGGACUGAGAUACGGCCCAGACUCCUACGGGAGGCAGCAGUGGGGAAUAGUGCACGAUGGGCGGAAGCCUGAUGCAGCGACGCCGCGUGGGGGAUGACGGCCUUCGGGUUGUGAACUCCUUUCGACCGCGAGGAAGCCACCUGGUUGGAAGGGUGGUGACGGUAGUGGUAGAAGAAGCACCGGCUAACUACGUG